UACAGAGGUCUCGAGCGUUAGGCGGAAUCACUGGGCUUAAAGCGUGUGUAGGCGGAUUGCUAAGUACCUUGUGAAAUCCCACGGCUUAACCGUGGAACUGCUUGGUAUACUGGCUGUCUUGAGCCACUUAGGGGCGACCGGAACAAACGGUGGAGCGGUGAAAUGCGUAGAUAUCGUUUGGAACGCCAAAGGUGAAAACAGGUCGCUGGGAGUGUGCUGACGCUGAGGAGCGAAAGCGUGGGGAGCGAACAGG
rnacentral:rRNA from 1 species